GUACUCACUUCAGCAGCACAUACACUAAAAUUGGAAUGACACAGAGAAGAUUAGCAUGACCCCUGCACAAGGAUGACAUGAACAUUCAUGAUGCAUUCCAUACUAAA
ensembl:snRNA U6 U6 spliceosomal RNA